GUAAGUCUGCCAUCUACUGGCACGAAACGGAUUGUUUAUCCUGACGGUUGAGAACACAUGUGGCGUCGUCUGCACCUUAUCUGACUGAAGAUGAUGUCGAUCCAGCACUCGGGUGAUAGAGGUGAAGUUCCAAGCCAGCAGAGACAGACUUCGGCUGACAGAGUCUAGAAGAGGCGACGAGCCCCCGCCGUGCCUCCCCAGCCUGCCCACAGCCGAUCGAUAGCGGUGGAGAUGGAGAUGCAGGUUUUUAUUAUCUUCGUCGGGAAGAGACAGGAGCCAUUUGGAGAAAACUAAUGCAGCCGACUUACAGGAAUCACAACUUUUCUGACUACAUCGCCGGAUCACUGAAAAAGAGAAAAAGUUGACAAUUUCACACAAAUUGGGACAUGGAGUGGCAUGCGUUGUUAUAGUCUUUUGACAAUUGUGCUAUAACGUUCUGUUAAUUCCCUCGAGUGUGCAGCAUUGCAUUGAGCCUAUGUAAGUAUGACAAAUAUGCAUUAUUGAAAAUCCAAUGUGUCUUUCUCUAGUCUGUUUCUUUAAAAAAAAAGUGUUAGUUUUUCAAUGUUUUCAGAGUAUA